rnacentral:lncRNA from 1 species
UCUGUCUGGCAAGCGCCGCGCGCAUCCUCGGUUCCCGCCGCGCCGUUGCCGCCGCUCCUCUCCCUCCUCACCUCCCCGCAAGCUGAGGGAGCCGGCUCUGGCCUUGGCCAGCCCAGAAAGGGGCUCCCACAGUGCAGCGGUGAGCUGAAGGGUUCCUCAAGCGCGGCCAGAGUGGGCGCCAAGGCCGAGGAGGCGCCCAGAGCCAGCGAGGGCUGCCAGCAAGCUGUCACCUCUCAAUAGGAACUGGUACCAACCUACUUACGAAGAAGUAUUUGUUUUAACCUGAACCUGGGGGAAAAACAACAUGAACUGUUCGUCUAUCUAUAUCGUCAUUAUUUUUUACCUCAUGGAUUGAAACAAAUUUUAAAGGAAAAAAGAAUGUUAAGAAAGAGCAGCACUUACUAUCAGGGAGGCACCUCACGAGCAUUGUAAACACUCAGGCUCGCUGCUUUCUGAAGGACAUGCCAAUCAUGCACAGCACUUACUAGAAACUGCAAGACUGCACAACAUGAUGGUAUUUAUUCCAGGAACAGGAGCCAGUCCUGGGCACACACAUAAAGGGACUUCCUUCACUCCCCAGAAGAAGAGAAAGCAUGCUGACACACAUCUGCCCAAGCAAUCAGAAGGCAGCUAAAGCCGCCACAGUCUUCACUCACCAACAGUUAGACCUUUUCAAUUGAUUUUAUUGAAGAAAGUGAGUGCUGAGCACCAUGAGUUCUCAUAAACAAUCCAUUUUGGCAAAUGCUUUAAGAAUGUUGGUUAAUUGCAGUUAGGCAGCAUCGACGUAUUUUAUUUUUUGGAAAGCAAGAAGCUGGCUUACCAACAUUAAGUUAAACAACAUGUAAGGGUUAGAAAUAUGAAUCAACAAACUAUUAGGGUGGUACCAUCUCUUUAUAAUAAAACAAUGUAGAUUGAUUAAGUAUAGCCUAAAAGUUUACCACAAAUCAUAACUACAUUUAAGCUUUGAAUUUCAUGACUAGUGAUUAAUUUUGCAUGUCAACUUGACUGAGCUUAUAGAAUGCCCAGGUAUCUGAUUAAACGUUAUUUCUGGAGGUGUCUGUGAGGGUGUUUCUGUAAGAGAUUAGCAUCUGAAGGCCAGGUGUGGUGGCUCAUGCCUGUAAUCCUAGUACUUUGGGAGGCCGAGGUGGGCAGAUUGCCUGAGCUCAGGAGUCUGAGACCAGCCUGGGCAACAUGGCAAAACACCGUCUGUACUAAAAAAUACAAAGUUUAGCCGGAUGUGGUGGCACACACCUGUAGUCCCAGCUACUAGGGAGGCUAAGGCAUGAGAAUUUCCUGAGCCUGCGAGGCGGAGGUUGUGGUAAGCCAAGAUUGUACUCCAGCCUGGGUGAUAAAGUGAGACCCUAUCUCAUAAAAAACAAAAAAACAAAAAAGAAAAAAGGAGAAGAAAGAGACACAGAUUAGCAUUUGAAUGGGUGGACUGAGUAAAGCAGAUGGCCCUCGUCAGUGUUGGUGGGAAUUGUCCUAUCCAUUGAGGGCUUAAAUGAAACAAAGACUGAGGAAGGCUGAAUUCAAUCUCUGCUGACUGCUGGGGCUGAGACAUCAAUCUUCUCCGGCUCUCAGUGCUCUUCCAGACUCAGACUGGAAUGUACACUAUCAGCUCUCCAGUUCUCAGGCCUUCAAAUUACACCUCUGGCUUUCCUGGGUCUCCAGCUUGCAGAUGGCAGAUCGUGGGACUUCAUGGGACUUCUCAGACUCCAUAACCAAGGCUGAGGAGCUACAGUCUAAAUGCAUACGCAUGUUGGGAACCGAAGUCAGCCAUCUUCCCUAGGACAAAUCUUUACUCUUCUAAAGAAGGACAAGAAUAAGAAUUGAAAACACUUUUCACAGUAUAGACAUCUAUAGUGUGUAAAACCAUCUUUACAAAACCCAUAUAUACAGAAAAAUCUCAGUCUUCAAUUUGAAGGUUCUUUGCCGUGCUAACAUAUGUUGUAGAGAAUGACCACAUAGUAAUUGUCUAGUCUUUUCUCCUAACCCCAAUAGGAUUUGAAUGACUUUCAUCGUAAUGAAGGCUUCUGCAGAGUAAUUGAUUUUGACCAUGAGUACCUGUUGAAGUCACAGCAACUUCUCCUUCUAGAUUAUCUUACAGCAGUGGACCAGACAGCAGUGCUCAAGAGAGAAAUGCUAUCAAACAAAAAGUGGUUCAAUACUGGCAUCCUGUGGCUGGAGAGAUUUAUCAAAUCUCUGAAAAUCUCAGCUCCUUGGAUUCUGAACAUUCCCUGGCUGUCAGUUCUCAGCAGCCUUUCACCAUUUUCCGAGUGCUAUUUGGUUACCUCUCAUUUUUCAUGGAAACAACCUAGGUAAAAUGCAUUUUGAUAGACUAUCAUUUUCACAGGGCUGAUCUACUCAUGCAUUAUCAGGGUAAAAAUAAAUGAUAAUAUAAAGGUUUUGGAAUUUUACCUAAUGAAAGAACAUGAUAUUAAAUCAUUGAACAAACUGCUCCAAGCAAAGGCUCUUGGUCUCUAAGUUCACAUUGAGUUUCUCUCUAACAAAAUGAUCAUAGAGUAGUUGGGAGAAGGGACAGGGCGCUGCUUCAGGAUUUUGUUGUUUGUGCGUCUGUGUGUGAGUGUUUUGUUUUGGCCAAAGGCUAAGAAAAUACUUCCUAUUGCAGCAAUAAAUAUUAUGAAUUUUCUUUAUUUUACUACAAGAAUGCUGCCUCAGAGAAAAAUCAAACAAAAUUACGGAGGACUGUUGCUUUUUGCUACUCACUUUCAAGGCAGCUAUAAAGAUAAAGAGUUACAAUGAUCGCAGUUUAAAAGCAGAAUUGCCAUGCUCCCUGGUAAGACUUAAUGGCAUUUUUGAGAACCAAAUAACCAUUAUGGGACUACUCCAUUGCUGCUAGUUUCACAAAUGGCUAACACUAAAUUUGGAGGCCUUGGAAAUGUUCAAAACAUCAUUAGAGAUAGAAAAAUAGCAACAAACUUUAAAAUUACAUGAACACCAAAAGACAUCAAUGAAGGAUCAAGCAUGAAAACCGCUUGUUGAGAUGAACUGACAAAGAAAUAAUACAAAGUACACACGUGCUUGUUAGCAAGAGGAAAGAACUAUUAGAGUUGGCUGACUCCAAACAGGAGGAACAAAAUGCCUGCUAAAGUGGGAUCGAACAAUGGCUUUGCUCUUUCAUCAUGCUCCCUUUCUUCUAGUCUAACUCUAGGACCACCAGCUCUUUCUUCCUCAAUUCUCUUAAUUUUCUGUGCUGCUCAGGGGUUUUAACUGUCUUGGUUAGUAUGGGAGACAGACAGAUUUCACAGCGAUGAGUGCUAAUCUAUCCUAAAUGUUAGCAAUGAAUAAAGCAACCCUAAUGGUAAAUGGUAUUUAAUAAGAUCCCUUUUCCCUCAGAACAGGCUCUAUAUUUAGUGUCUAGAACACAGAAAACUUAAAAAUAUUCCACAGAAAGCUAGUGUGAUCUGAGAAGAAAUAGAGAUUAAAUACUCAGUUAAGGCAAUCAGUGUGCCUGUGUCAGCCAUAAAGCACCUCAUUUGUAUAGUAACAUUUCUUUGGGGAAACAAAAUCCAGAUAUAAAUAUUAGUAUAAGAUCUAAAGAUGCAAAAUUCCAAUUGAAUGCUAAUAAAAGGUAUUAAUAAAACUCUGCUUUAAAGGACUGACUUCUCAAUGAGUCUGCACAGCACACUAGAGAUUCAAUAUGCAUAUCAAGGUUUUUGGUUGUUUGUUUUUUUAGUAACACUGGCAUUAUUUAUUAAUAAUUUAACCAGAAAUCUCCCCAAACUUUUAACUGGAAUUUAAAAAAUUAAUUAUGGUAAAGUAAGUAAAUUAAAACAAAGAAAAAGUAUGAAAGCUAUGUUCUAAACUCACCACAUUCACCAGCGAGAAUAGAUCUGCCCUUCUGGCUAUAUUUGUUACCUACCUAUCUCUCUCUCUCUCUCUGUCUCUCUCUCUCCCUCUCUCUCUCUGUCUCUCUCUUUCCCUCUCUCUCUCUCUCUCUCCGCCCCCCCCACUUCCACAAGGGAUCCAGUCUAGAAAGAGCAUGAACUUAGAAGUCCAGCAGAUGUGGGUUCAAUUCCUAGUUCUAUGGUUUAAAAUACAUACACUCAAAAAUAAAUUCUCCAUUUUCCUGAGCUCUGGUGUUCUCAUCUGGACUUGGGAAUAAUAGCACCUCACACAUCAACCUUGUUGAGGAUUGCUUGAGAUGAUCAUGUAGGGGAGAGGACUCAGGAGAGCCUCUGACAGAGAGAUAUGCUUUCAACACAGGCUAUUCAUAAGCACCCUUCCUACCUAGUCAUCUACUAUGUUUUCUCCUCCCCCAGUUUAACUGGUCACCAAGUCUUGCUGAUUUUUCCUUUUAGUAUGUUUCACUUUCUCUCAGACCCUGCUGAUACUGCCUGUCUUCAGAAUCCCCCUCAAUUCUCAUCAGGAUUGCUGCAGUAACCACCAAAGUCAAUAUUCUGUCUUCAGCCCCAACCUAUCUUAAUCCAUCCUCAUAACCCCCAGGGUGAUUCUCCUAAAAUAUAAAACUGCCUGAGUUUGACUUUCAGCUAUUCUACUUUAUAUCUGUAUGACUUGGAACAAGUGACCUGAAUUCUCUCAUGCUAUAAUUCAAAGCCUAUUAACUGGGGAUAAUAAUUUUCCUACCUCAGUAGGAUAUUAUAUGAAUUAAAUAAAGUCUUGUUCCUCUCCCAAAAAAAAAAAAAAAAA